rnacentral:rRNA from 1 species
GCGGUAUANUAGGCGCNAGCNUGUCCGGAAUAUUGGCGUAANGGAGCGUANGGGGGGAAGUAAUUCUUUUUAAAAUUCNGGGNUCAGCCCCGUGAUGGAAAGAAACUACNANUCUUGAGUGCCGGAGAGGAAAAGCGGAAUUCCCAGUGUAGCGGUGAAAUGCGUAGAUAUUGGGAAGAACACCAGUGGCGAAGGCGGCUUUCUGGACGGCAACUGACACUGAGGCUCGAAAGCCAGGGUAGCGAACGGGAUUAGAUACCCCGGUAGUCCUGGCCGUAAACGAUGGAUACUAGGUGUAGGAGGUAUCGACCCCUUCUGUGCCGGAGUUAACGCAAUAAGUAUCCCGCCUGGGGAGUACGGUCGCAAGACUGAAACUCAAAGGAAUUGACGGGGGCCCGCACAAGCGGUGGAGUAUGUGGUUUAAUUCG